GAUGAUUGACGGAGGAAGAAGGGACGGGAAACCUAUGGCCAGCGACGGAAACGGGUUAUCGGAAAAGAGCAGUGAAAUCUUGUCCCGUUAAACGAUGUUUAGCAAUUAAACCUUCUAUCAGCAAACGAAGGCAGUUGAGGACAUGGUAUAAUUCUCUCAUGGCAGCAUCAUUAUUUUGACUAUCUGCAAACAUAACGACACGAAACGCAUGGUUUACUGCUAUGAUAGCGUAAUCUUCAUAAAUGGCUUCAUCACUGAUCUGUGAG
rnacentral:lncRNA from 1 species